rnacentral:rRNA from 1 species
GACGAACGCUGGCGGCGUGCUUAACACAUGCAAGUCGAACGGAAAGGCCCUGCUUUUGUGGGGUGCUCGAGUGGCGAACGGGUGAGUAACACGUGAGUAACCUGCCCUUGACUUUGGGAUAACUUCAGGAAACUGGGGCUAAUACCGGAUAGGAGCUCCUGCUGCAUGGUGGGGGUUGGAAAGUUUCGGCGGUUGGGGAUGGACUCGCGGCUUAUCAGCUUGUUGGUGGGGUAGUGGCUUACCAAGGCUUUGACGGGUAGCCGGCCUGAGAGGGUGACCGGCCACAUUGGGACUGAGAUACGGCACAGACUCCUACGGGAGGCAGCAGUGGGGAAUAGUGCACAAUGGGAGGAAGCCUGAUGCAGCAACGCCGCGUGCGGGAUGACGGCCUUCGGGCUGUAAACCGCUUUCGCCUGUGACGAAGCGUGAGUGACGGUAAUGGGUAAAGAAGCACCGGCUAACUACGUG